AACGUAGGUGGCAAGCGUUAUCCGGAUUUACUGGGCGUAAAGCGUGUGCAGACGGGGCUUCAAGUGGUGUAUGAAAUCGCUCGGCUCAACCGGGCGCGGGUAUGCCAGACUGGAGUGCUAGAGGGUGCGAGAGGGACGUGGAAUUCCGGGUGUAGUGGUGAAAUGCGUAGAGAUCGGGAAGAACAUCGGUGGCGAAAGCGCUCUACUGGACCGCAACUGACACUCAGGGACGAAAGCUAGGGGAGCGAAUGGG
rnacentral:rRNA from 1 species